rnacentral:rRNA from 1 species
GUGUUGAGGAAGAUAAUGACGGUACUCAACAAGGAAGUGACGGCUAACUACGUGCCAGCAGCCGCGGUAAAACGUAGGUCACAAGCGUUGUCCGGAAUUACUGGGUGUAAAGGGAGCGCAGGCGGGAAGACAAGUUGGAAGUGAAAUCCAUGGGCUCAACCCAUGAACUGCUUUCAAAACUGUUUUUCUUGAGUAGUGCAGAGGUAGGCGGAAUUCCCGGUGUAGCGGUGGAAUGCGUAGAUAUCGGGAGGAACACCAGUGGCGAAGGCGGCCUACUGGGCACCAACUGACGCUGAGGCUCGAAAGUGUGGGUAGCAAACAGGAUUAGAUACCCUGGUAGUCCACACUGUAAACGAUGAUUACUAGGUGUUGGAGGAUUGACCCCUUCAGUGCCGCAGUUAACACAAUAAGUAAUCCACCUGGGGAGUACGACCGCAAGGUUGAAACUCAAAGGAAUUGACGGGGGCCCGCACAAGCAGUGGAGUAUGUGGUUUAAUUCGACGCAACGCGAAGAACCUUACCAAGUCUUGACAUCCUGCGACGGUGCUGGAAACAGUACUUUCCUUCGGGACGCAGAGACAGGUGGUGCAUGGUUGUCGUCAGCUCGUGUCGUGAGAUGUUGGGUUAAGUCCCGCAACGAGCGCAACCCUUAUGGUCAGUUACUACGCAAGAGGACUCUGGCCAGACUGCCGUUGACAAA